CCUGGGGCGGCAGCUGUGACUCAAGGCUGGAACCGGGCCCGCUUCAGUGGUAGCAGCCAGCGUGGCAGCCAGUCGGCACACCUUGGUCCACCCAGGGACCUGAACGCGGCCCUCUGCUCAUCCCAAAUUCCAUCCCAGCAAGGUGGACUGAUUUCCAUCUUGGUCCCAGGGUCCGCACAUCUCCACCACGGUUCCACCCCGUUCCAGCUCGGGAAGACGCAGGCUCGUUAGCGAACAAGAUAAGCCUCCUGGUGACUGAGGGGCGGGCCAGCCGGACCAGUGAGAGGUCGAACGGCUGCUCAGUGCCUCUGGAACAGGACCUCAGCAUCACCCCACACCCAGGGGGAGGAAGGAGAGUGACCAAAACUACAGAGCCAGCACCACCACCAGCCUGUCCUUGGAGCCAUCCUGCAGGGAAGACCCAGUAUGAGCAAACACUGUCCCAAUAUCAGAAUCCACUUUCCACAUCAAGAUCACCCAGUAAGCAAUCUAAAUUGUGAGUGAAGAGCCCAGAGCUUUCUUCUGCCCCUUUCCCUCUCCUCCACCCCCAGGCAUACCCACCCCCCAUCAAAAGGAUACCUUCCCCGAGAAAGGAACCUCCCAAACUCAUUUGUCCGUAUUUCACUUUCUCCGCCUGAUUACUCCCCUCUCCUUAUAGCCUGGCUUCCCUGAAACCAAAUGUGAGUCGUUUUCCAACUGCACCGGAAAAUCAGAAUUUAUUGUACAUAUGUUUGUGUUCCACUUA